GUCUUCUGCGGGAAAGAGGUGUCUGGAAUGUUAGGCAGGCAUCGCCGUGGGCAGCUGCUGUUCUGUUAGGACCCCCUCUCCUCCUCCACAAGAUGGCGGCGCCCAGGGGAGAGGCAGCGGUGGCACCGUUUGGAGUAUGGCUCAGUCAACGGCUGGUGGAGCUGGAAAUAGAUGAGGAUGUUUAUGGCUCGUACAUCAACGGAAUUUUACGAGAGGAAGAAAACGAAGAAGAGAAGUCUGAAGCUCUUCAAGCCAUAUUAUCCGCUUUUAUGGAUGAAGAUUCAUUGGCAGUAAUUUGCAAAGAUAUAAUUCAGAAAUGGUCUGAGACCACAAACAGUAUCACACAAGAAAAAAAUGUUGAAGAUGAAGUACAUGCCAUCGCAAGUAUGAUUGAGAAACAGGCUCAGAUUGUUGUGAAACAAAAAGGCACUUCAGAAGAGGAGAAAUCGAGGAAAGCUGCAGUUCUUGCACAGUAUGCAAAUAUAACUGAUGAGGAAGAUGAAGAUGAAGAAUCCCAUGGAACAAGUGGAGCAUUUAACUUUGAAGACAAAUCUCUUUUCAAAAACACAAAUGUUGAAUCAGUUCUUGUUGCCAAAAAAGCAGAAAGAGAGAAGGCUCGGGAAGAUGCACAAAAAAAGAAGGAACAAGAUAAACUACAGCGAGAGAAAGAUAAACUUGCCAAACAGGAAAGAAAAGAAAAGGAGAAGAAGAGAACACAGAAAGGAGAACGAAAGCGAUAGAUUAUUUGAAAGAUAUUAGACUGGAGUGUGCAGCUGUUCAGAGCUACAAGUUUACAUCCACAGAGGUUCCAUAAAGCUCACCUCUUAUCUUCCAUUGAUCACACACCCAAACCCUCCCUCCACCAUGAGGAGACUUCAGGAGUGAGUCUUUGAAAUUUACUUUAAUUUUUGUCAUCUCCAACAAUCUAACAGCGAUUUUGCAGCAUCUUGCCAUUCAUUUCAGCUACUCAGCCCUUUUGGUUGACACACCAAUGCCAAAAGAAGCUGUGAUAACAGAUGACUCCUGCAUCCAUGCACGGAUUCCAGUAUACUUAUAUCCUCAAGGCCAUCGACACUGAAAGGGUGCCUUUCACAGCCAUCAAUGUCCACAGAAUAAGCAGCAACUUCACCAGUCUGCCUCCAUCUCAAAUGACAGAUUAGGGUAACCAUAUAGAAGCAUCUACAAGCACCUGAGGAAGUUUGAUAAUAUAUUUAGAUGUCACCCUCUUGUUGAACUAUCUAUAUGAAUCUUGAUAUUUUGACCACAGAAGUGUGUGAUGGAAAGAGGUUAAUGUAUGUCUCGUGCCAUUCUGAUGACAGUCCAUAUCACAGUAGAGGAGGUUUUCGAUGUAUUUGAGGUGGGUACAUUAACAGCAUUUAAAAGGCAUUUGGACAAAUACAUAUAUAGGAAAGGCUUAGAAGAAUAUGGGCCAAGUACAAGGAAAUGGGAUUAGUGUGGAUGAACAUUUUGGUCAGCAUGGACCUUUGGGCCGAAAGGCCUGUCUCCAUGCUGUCAGACUCUAUGACAGUCGAGAGUGUAG